rnacentral:tRNA from 1 species
GGGAUAGUGUCCGAGUGGUUAAGGAGGUGGUUUGUAAAACCAUUAGCGUUGCUAUCACAGGUUCGACCCCUGUCUAUCCCA